AGACAGUGAUCUUGCUAUGCUGCCCAGGCUGGUCUCAACCUUAUGGGCUCAAGUGAUCCUCCCACCUCAGCCUCCCAAAGUGCUAGGAUUACCGGCGUGAGCUACAGCGCCCUGCCUGUUCUGGGCUUCUUGCAGAGCCUCUUCAGCUGCAGAGAAGCAGCUCUCCUUUCUCCAAGUCCAGAGCCCCAUCCCCAACAGGACGAAUAAUGAAGCUGUUGGGAAGAUUUACUGAUAAUACAUGUAAAGGGUCUAGCACAUUUUAGGAGCUCAAGGUUGGUGCCUUCCCUUUUUCUUUACUCUGAACCGGAUAUGAGGCCUUGAGAAAGAAGAGAGGCGCUUGCAAAACGAGGAGGAGAAAAGGUUCCCUCGAAGGACGUCUUUGCUUGCGCGUUCACGGAGCCUUGAGAACGAGUGGCCGAGGGGACCCCCGCGGCCCUGCGCGCCUAAGGGAGGACCUGACUCCUUUCAGAAUUAGCAUUUCUUCCCCUUCGUGGGUGCUCUUGAGUUCCAAAGAAAAGGAAGAGAAGCCUUCAUUGAGCAGCUUCUUCUGCCUUAGGGACUGUGCUAGGGGGUAGGUCGACCUUAGGGGAAACAAUCCCCGCUUAUUAGAGGAGGUUUUGGAUCAGGGUUUGCUUUAUUUGAAAUUUAACAAAUACAGAAAAGCAGAAGGAAGAAAAUUGAAGUAAUCCAUGUUUCCACUGGGCGCGGCGGCUCACGCCUAUAAUCCCAGCACUUUGGGAGGCCAAGGCGGGCGGAUCACGAGGUCAGGAGUUCGAGACCAGCCUGACCAACAUGGUGAAACCCCCCCCCCCCCCGUCUCUACUAAAAUUACAAAAUUAGCCGGUCGUGGUGGCACACGCCUGUAAUCCCAGCUACUCAGGAGGCUGGGGCAGGAGAAUCGCUUGAACCUGGGAAGCAGAGGUUGCAGUGAGCCGAGAUUGCACCACUGCACUCCAGCCUGAGCAACAGAGUGAGACUCCGUUGUCUUUAAAGGCCAAUCCCAUAGCAAAUGACAGAGACUCACUUGAGUAAGAAAGGUUUUUGACAAGAAAACCCACAGAAGAAGAGACAAGCUGUGGAUAUAAGAAAGGCACUACAAUCUGUAUUUAAAUCUAACUGCACAUUAGAUAAUAUAUGUAUGAAAAAUUA